GCUCUCUGGAGAAUCCCGGCAACGGGUGCCGAAGGUGUAAGUGGCAGAUGCCAUGAAUCUCUCAGGCAAAAGGACAGUGUGAAA
rnacentral:ncRNA from 1 species